UACGGAGGGUGCAAGCAUUGAUCGGAAUUACUGGGCGUAAAGGGCGCGUAGGCGGCACGAUAAGUCGGAUGUGAAAUUCCGGGGCUCAACCCCGGAGCUGCAUUUGAAACUGUCGAGCUAGAGUACAGUUAGGGUAAACGGAAUUCCACGUGUAGCGGUGAAAUGCGUAGAUAUGUGGAAGAACACCGGUGGUGAAAACGGUUUACUGGGCUGAAACUGACGCUGAGGCGCGAAAGCAUGGGGAGCAAACAGG
rnacentral:rRNA from 1 species